AGUGAACGCUGGCGGUAGGCCUAACACAUGCAAGUCGAACGGCAGCACAGUAAGAGCUUGCUCUUACGGGUGGCGAGUGGCGGACGGGUGAGGAAUACAUCGGAAUCUACUUUUUCGUGGGGGAUAACGUAGGGAAACUUACGCUAAUACCGCAUACGACCUACGGGUGAAAGCAGGGGAUCUUCGGACCUUGCGCGAUUGAAUGAGCCGAUGUCGGAUUAGCUAGUUGGCGGGGUAAAGGCCCACCAAGGCGACGAUCCGUAGCUGGUCUGAGAGGAUGAUCAGCCACACUGGAACUGAGACACGGUCCAGACUCCUACGGGAGGCAGCAGUGGGGAAUAUUGGACAAUGGGCGCAAGCCUGAUCCAGCCAUACCGCGUGGGUGAAGAAGGGCUUCGGGUUGUAAAGCCCUUUUGUUGGGAAAGAAAAGCAGCAGGUUAAUACCCCGCUGUUCCGACGGUAUCCAAAGAAUAAGCACCGGCUAACUUCGUG
rnacentral:rRNA from 1 species